CAUGAAGGAAGAGAAGGAGCACAGGCCUAAGGAGAAACGAGUAACCCUGUUAACACCCCCGGGGGCCUCAUGCAGCGGCAGUGGGACCUCAGGGGACAGCACCAAAGGAGAAGAUAAGCAGGAUCAAAACAAGGAGAAGAAAGAGGCUCUGAGCAAGGUGGUAAUUCGAAGAUUACCUCCCACUUUGACCAAGGAGCAGCUUCAGGAACAUCUCCAACCUAUGCCUGAACAUGAUUAUUUUGAGUUUUUUUCUAAUGAUACUAGUCUGUAUCCUCAUAUGUAUGCCAGAGCAUACAUCAACUUUAGAAUCCAAGAAGACAUUAUUUUGUUCAGGGAUCGCUUUGAUGGUUAUGUAUUCCUUGACAAUAAAGGUCAGGAAUAUCCUGCUAUAGUAGAAUUUGCACCUUUUCAAAAAGCUGCAAAAAAGAAGACAAAGAAAAGAGAUACCAAAGUUGGGACUAUCGAUGAUGAUCCAGAAUAUAGAAAAUUUUUGGAAAGUUAUGCCACAGAUAAUGAGAAGAUGACAUCUACUCCAGAGACACUGCUAGAGGAAAUAGAAGCAAAAAAUAGAGAACUAAUAGCUAAAAAGACAACCCCACUUUUGAGCUUCCUGGAAAACAAGCAGAGAAUGAGAGAAGAAAAGAGAGAAGAAAGAAGGAGGUGAGAAAUUGAAAGGAAAAGACAAAGAGAAGAAGAGAGGAGAAAAUGGAAAGAAGAAGAGAAACGGAAAAGGAAAGAUAUAGAAAAGCUAAAGAAGAUUGACAGAGUUCCAGAAAGGGAAAAAAUAAAGGAUGAACCAAAGAUUAAGGUACACAGGUUUCUGUUACAAGCUGUGAAUCAGAAAAAUCUGCUCAAGAAGCCAGAAAAAGGAGAUGAAAAAGAAUUGGACAAAAGAGAAAAAACCAAGAAAUUGGACAAAGAGAAUCUGAAUGAUGAAAGAGCCAGUGGGCAAAGUUAUACAUUGCCCAAGCAAUCUGAUAGUGAACUUAAAGAUGAAAAGCCAGAGAGAUUUGAAGAGGAGACUAGCAGAGACUACAGGGAGAGAGAAGGGGAUUAUGAACGAGAGCAGGAGCGUAUGCUUCGAGAAAGAGAGAGGCUGAAGGGCAAGAAGAAGAGCACCGUAGGCAGAAGGAGCGUUAUGAGAAAGAGAAGAUUUUUAAAAGAAAAGAAGAAGAAAUGAAAAAAGAGGAGCACUUCGGGAUAAAGGAAAGAAGAAUGAAAGUACAGAAUCAAUAGGCAGCUCAGACAAAACGGAAAAGAAAGAGGAAGUGGUUAAGAGAGAUGGCAUAAGAAAUAAGGAUCGCCCAGCAAUGCAGCCUUACCAACCAGGAGCUCAAAGCCGAAAUCGACUCUGUCCCCCUGAUGACAGCACCAAGUCUGGAGAUUCAGCAAUAGAAAAAAAGCAAGAAAGUGGUAUUAGCCAUAGAAAAGAAGGAGGAGAAGAGUGAUAAGUCCGAAUGGCCUUAGGUGUCCUGACUGUCUAGGCAGCCAAAGAGCAAGUGUUAAGCAAUCCAGAAAUGCCUUCAGGGCAAAGGAAUAGAGAGAAAGAAAGGGAGUCGCUGUGCUGGUGGGAUACACUGCAGAGGAGUAUGUUUUGCGUUAAAGCAGGAAUCUGAUUGCAGGUUUAGAAUUGGAAGUACAAUUUCAUUGUUUUUGCAACUUCUAUAAAUUAAUUUUAACAUGUUAGAAAAUGAUGGCAAGAACAUGCAUUAUAAUUUACAGGAAGGAAAUGUCAAGUGAGAGCUUAAAUAUUUAUGACAUGAGAAAAAAAGAGCUGGUUCUACAAUCAAAAGAUGUUAAUCCUGGAUUGAAUUUUCUUAAUUUGGGUGGAGCAGAGUCACUUCGAAGU